rnacentral:rRNA from 1 species
GUCUACGGCCAUGCUACCCUGAACAAGCCCAAUGCCUCUGAUCUUGUCUGAUCUCGGAAGCUAAACAGGGUCGGGCCUGAUUAGUACUUGGAUGGGAGAUCACCUAGGAAGACCAGGCCCUGUAGGUG